rnacentral:lncRNA from 1 species
AAAUAAAAAGGAAAGUUCUUGAGAAUUAAUGCUUGGAAUAACUAAGAAUCACUAACAAUUGUGGUAACUAAAAUAAAACAUAGAUUAAUAAAAUUAUGCAAAACUAAGAGAACAUACCGUUUCUUUGACUCCAAUAAAUAAAUCUACUCCAGCUAAGUUUGAUGGUCUUUCAAUCAAUAUCUAACUGAGAAAAUGGGAAUAGAAAUUGGUGAAUGUGGAUUUAAGUAUAGACAAAUUAAAAACAACAAAUUUUUAAACAGGGAAUUCAUUGAAUAACUUGAGGCAAGUUUCAUACUAAAUGCACUAACUUGGAAUCAAAAAACAAUUAUAACUGCAUUAGAUUCAUCAAGAAAAAAAGAAAGAUUAUGAUAUUAAUCUGUCUGCAGAAAAAAAAUUAUGAAAAAAGCAAAAAAAAAAAAAAAAGGCAGACAAAUGGUUUUCAAAUCAGAUGCUGGAGCCCCAGAAAAGCCAAUCAUAUUCCUUGUAGCUUACGACCAUAAUUUACCAUAAAACAUCUUGGAAAAUGCCUCAAAAUAAGAGAAUGAUCCAAUAUUAUUGAAGUUCAAAUAUAAUUUCAAAUAGAAAGUUUGUAACUUUCCCCUCUAAAUCUAAUCAAAAUUAAAUGAAACUAAACCAGAAUGUGUAAAACCUUGUAUAUAACUAUGACUUCAGAAUCAGUUGAGAAAAUUGUUGCUACCGCCUCGUUAUCAUAAAAAAAUUUGCAGCUUUUAUGUCUCUUAAGAGAAAACAAGAAUCUUCUUUUAUUCCUCUAGAAAGAUGAUCGAAGCUUAGUCCAGCCAUCCAUCCAUAGCUUUGAAGAGAUUUGCAGUUUUUCGGGAGACUGUUAUCUUGUACAAUGUGAUGUAAUUAGC